UGAGAGCUUGCUCUCAAGAAGUUAGCGGCGGACGGGUGAGUAACACGUGGGUAACCUGCCCAUAAGACUGGGAUAACUCCGGGAAACCGGGGCUAAUACCGGAUAAUAUUUUGAACUGCAUGGUUCGAAAUUGAAAGGCGGCUUCGGCUGUCACUUAUGGAUGGACCCGCGUCGCAUUAGCUAGUUGGUGAGGUAACGGCUCACCAAGGCAACGAUGCGUAGCCGACCUGAGAGGGUGAUCGGCCACACUGGGACUGAGACACGGCCCAGACUCCUACGGGAGGCAGCAGUAGGGAAUCUUCCGCAAUGGACGAAAGUCUGACGGAGCAACGCCGCGUGAGUGAUGAAGGCUUUCGGGUCGUAAAACUCUGUUGUUAGGGAAGAACAAGUGCUAGUUGAAUAAGCUGGCACCUUGACGGUACCUAACCAGAAAGCCACGGCUAACUACGUGCCAGCAGCCGCGGUAAUACGUAGGUGGCAAGCGUUAUCCGGAAUUAUUGGGCGUAAAGCGCGCGCAGGUGGUUUCUUAAGUCUGAUGUGAAAGCCCACGGCUCAACCGUGGGAGGGUCAUUGGAAACUGGGAGACUUGAGUGCAGAAGAGGAAAGUGGAAUUCCAUGUGUAGCGGUGAAAUGCGUAGAGAUAUGGGAGGAACACCAGUGGCGAAGGCGACUUUCUGGUCUGUAACUGACACUGAGGCGCGAAAGCGUGGGGGAGCAAACAGGAUUAGAUACCCUGGUA
rnacentral:rRNA from 1 species